ensembl:lncRNA
UUCUCACAAACAACGGGAAGGAAAAACACUGCUUCUUUUCCAACCCGUUACUUCUCUCAGCCGACGCAGCGGCAUCACGCGUGGAGAACAUUGCGUAUAGCACAGAAAUACUACAAACAUCCUGUGCAGACUACAACGUUUGCUUCCUCCAUAGCCGCGAGUGAGACGGGACUUCAAGGAUAAACCUUACGAGGUGGGAAAACAGUCUCAGGAACAGGUUCGGAGCUUUGGUUGUGGGAUUGCUUCACUCUAGCACACAGCCAUACAGGAGCCUGACGCCUUCAGUAACACUACGGCCGAACUGACUGAAGGAAAACGGACUCUCAAAGCAGAGCGUUUCAUCCUCAGCAGGAGACGGAUCGGAGACAGCCAUGGGCUCACGCCUCCUCCCACCGCUCCUAUAGGAAUAGGGUAACCCGUCUGGGUUUUGCUGCCACUGUGUGGCCGUCGAGAGAAAGGAUGUUCGGGACACUGUCGUAUAGUUACUCUAUUUUUAUUGUAAAGCCUGGAAGAACUUACAGCAUCCUUAUACUACAGCGUUGCACCCUGGAUGCAUACACAUCCCUGUAGCUAUAUAGGUACAAAUUGCCUCUAAGAGAGAACUAGAGGCUUGAUCUUAGAGGACUCCUGUCCCAAGAGAUGUUGGCAGUUUGUCCUUCUCCCUGAAAGGUAAAGCUUACAGUUAUCAUCAGGCAGCUCCAGCUAAACAUUACUUUGCAUUAAACCUGGCAGCAGUUUUUUAGAAAGAAUUUAGGCAGAAUGAACGAUCAGCAGAGGAGCUCCUAAGUCUUCAGUCAGCAAUACCGUGCACAGCCUCCUGCUCAGCCACAGCACUAAACCUUUAGAACUAACGUGCCUGAAAUACUACAGGAACCCAAAUUCUUCAUUAUUACUUUCAGAGUUAAAUAUUGGCUCCAACUCAAAAGGCAAGCAGUGCAUCAAUUCCUGCGCUGCUUUUACACAGCAUAAUUUGGAGAAAAAGCAUUUGGGGUUACUUUGCAGAAAGCCAACACCUGCAGUUCGGCUGUGAACUUGCUCAGAUGCUUUCAUCCUACAAGAGAGAUGCCAGAAUA